rnacentral:antisense_RNA from 1 species
CCUGUUCCACUUGGUUUUGAAAUUCAACUUCUCCUUUAUUUAAAAAUGACAUAUCAAAACCAGUCUUCUCUUGAAGAGGUAACUUAGGAAAUGGAGCAAUUUACUGUGGCUUUAGAGGAUGUAAAGUGCUCCGUGCAGUCGGACAUGUACAGGGCAGCAGCUGGAAGCAUGAGGACAUAGAGCCGUCACUCAAUGUGGUCCCCGGGCCAGCAGCAACUGCACAAUGUGGGAGCUCCUUAGAAAGGCAGGAUCCUGGACCUCACCCUGUUUCAGAACCUACAUCUUUUUUUUUUUUUAAUUUGCAAAAAUUUAUUCAUAUACAAAUGUGCAAUGUCAAUAAAAUGACCAAAUAGGUUUGUUCUUGAAACAUUUUCAAUUGAACGGGAAUUAAGUGCUUUUGAAAAGUGACAAAAUGAUCAUACAGUGAAGUUAAGAUGUCUCUUUCUUUAUAUAACAAGUAUAAAUCAGGUACUAACUCUUGAUUUUACUCUGAAUUAACCAUGACAUACUAAAUGAACUUGGGCUUCAGGCAGAACCUACAUCUUAAGAUGGGCCCUGUGCAUUCUGGGACCUGUGAU